AGGUGGGCACUCUAGAGAGACUGCCAGGGAUAACCUGGAGGAAGGUGGGGACGACGUCAAAUCAUCAUGCCCCUUAUGACCAGGGCUACACACGUGCUACAAUGGCGUAAACAGAGGGAAGCAGCCUCGUGAGAGUGAGCAAAUCCCAAAAAUAACGUCUCAGUUCGGAUUGUAGUCUGCAACUCGACUACAUGAAGCUGGAAUCGCUAGUAAUCGCGAAUCAGAAUGUCGCGGUGAAUACGUUCCCGGGUCUUGUACACACCGCCCGUCACACCAUGGGAGUCAGUAACGCCCGAAGUCAGUGACCCAACCGUAAGGAGGGAGCUGCCGAAGGCGGGACCGAUAACUGGGGUGAAGUCGUAACAAGGUAGCCGUAUCGGAAGGUGCGGCUGGAUCACCUCCUUUCUAAGGAA
rnacentral:rRNA from 1 species